AAAUUGAAGAGUUUGAUCAUGGCUCAGAUUGAACGCUGGCGGCAGGCCUAACACAUGCAAGUCGAGCGGAAACGAGUUAUCAGAACCUUCGGGGGACGAUAACGGCGUCGAGCGGCGGACGGGUGAGUAAUGCCUAGGAAAUUGCCCUGAUGUGGGGGAUAACCAUUGGAAACGAUGGCUAAUACCGCAUGAUGCCUACGGGCCAAAGAGGGGGACCCUCGG
rnacentral:rRNA from 1 species